AGCUCCAAUAGCGUAUAUUAAAGUUGUUGCAGUUAAAAAGCUCGUAGUUGGAUUUCUGGUAGGAUGAUUAUGCCCUCAGCUGAGUGCGCAUCGUCGUCUUUCCAUCCUUCUGUUAACCUUGGAGUCCUUCACGGUCUCCCUGGGGCUCAGAUAUUUUACCUUGAGAAAAUUAGAGUGUUUCAGGCAGGCUAGCGCCGGAAUACAUUAGCAUGGAAUAAUGGAAUAGGACUUUUGCCUCUUCUGUUGGUCAUGGGGUUCGAGUAAUGAUUAAUAGGGAUAGUUGGGGGCAUUAGUACUUCACUGUCAGAGGUGAAAUUCUCGGAUUUGUGAAAGACUAACUUAUGCGAAAGCAUUUGCCAAGGAUGUUU
rnacentral:rRNA from 1 species